UGACCACCUUCCUUUGGAGAGUUAAGGCAACGGUGUGCCGGGUCAAAUGCCGA
rnacentral:sRNA from 1 species